UACGAAGGGGGCUAGCGUUGCUCGGAAUGACUGGGCGUAAAGGGCGCGUAGGCGGUUCGUACAGUCAGACGUGAAAUUCCCCGGGCUCAACCUGGGGGCUGCGUUUGAUACGUGCGGGCUUGAGUUCGGAAGAGGGUCGUGGAAUUCCCAGUGUAGAGGUGAAAUUUGUAGAUAUUGGGAAGAACAUCAGUGGCGAAGGCGGCCUGCUGGGCUGUUGCUGACGCUGAGGCGCGACAGCGUGGAGAGCAAACAGG
rnacentral:rRNA from 1 species